CCAAGGACUUGGGCCAUCUUCCACUGCUUUUCCAGGCCAUAGCAGAGAGCUGAAUGGGAAGUGGAGUAGCCAAGACUUGAACCGGCACCCAUAUGGGAUGCUGGCACUGCAGGCAGUGGCUUUACUCCCUACCCCACAGCAUUGGCCCCUCAGUCUCCAUUUUUGAAGAACUUUUUGCUUCCAAUGACAUUUGCUAUAUCUACUUACAUCAAUAUUGCAUGCAAUAUUCUACUUGCAUCAAAGAGUUCUGAUAAAUAGUAUAUUUGUAUCAUUUCUCCUGAUAUUUUUUAAAAAAUUAUUUAUUUAUUUAAUUGAAAGGCAGAUUUACAGAGAGGCCGAGGUAGAGAGACAGAGAUCUUCCAUGUGCUGGCUCACUCCCCAUUUGGCCACAACAGCUGAAGCUGGGCCAAUCCAAAGCCAGUAGCCAGGAGCUUCCGCUGGGUCUCCCACAUGGGGAAGAGAUCCAAGCACAUGGGCCAUCUUCCACUGCUUCACCAGGCCUCAAGCAGAGAGCUGGAUCAAAAGAGGAGCAGCCAGGACUCAAACUGGCAACCAUAUAGGAUGCCCAUGCUGCAGGCGGUGGCUUUACCUGCUAUGCCACAGCACCGCCCCUUCUCCAGAUUCUGACUGACUCCAGACCCAACUUGCACUCAGGUAGGCACAAAGUAGCAGUGAUAUCUUUGGCUGCUAACACUAAAAAACUUUUUCUGAGAUUCCUUCUUGUUCAAAAAAAAUUUUUUUUAAGUUUGGGAAUUACUAAAGGAUGUCAAUAUCUAGCAGUCAUAAUGUAAAUAUUAUAAAAGCAACUUAUGAAGCUUACAUGCAUCAAGCAAUAGCACAUACAGAGCCUUGGGGUAAAUGCAGUACCAACUCUGGGGGAAAGACUAAGAGCUAGGAUGCGCCAAGAGAUCUUUGAAUGAUCCAUGGCCCCUCUCGUGGACAGAUGGCUCUGGGAGCAUGGGUGCUAUCGUUUGGAAAUGGUUUCACCCCCAAACUCAUGCUGACGUUUAAAACCUGACAUCAUAGUUAAUAGUACUAAGGGUGGAAACUAAAUCCAAUUAAGGUAUUUAGGAGGUGCGUCUAGUGAGAGGUUCUUGGGUCACUGGGGGCAUGCCAUUGGGAAGGGCUGCUCUCCUGAGAAGGUAGGUUAUCAAAGCCUGUGUUGAGCCCAGCUGCUAUUUCCUGGCUCACCACAUGCCCUUCCCCAACAUGGUCUGCCAUUGCCAUUUAUCACCUUCACAGAGACCAAACUUGUAGUGCUGUGCAAUCACGGACUUGAACCGCCAAAGCUUUGAACUAAGUAAACCUUUUUCUCUUUAUAAAAUUAGUUACCUCAGCUAUUUCAUUGAAGUAGUGGAAAACUGUUUAAUAGAAUGAGCAACUUCAUAAUCUGCAUUUAGGGCAGAUGUCACCUGGACACUAAUCUACACCAUUAGAAUACAGUCUAAUUGAUUUUAGUGGGUUUGUGUGUGUGUGUGACUACAACACUAUUUUACUUUUACUUUCAGUCUUGUUAGCACUAUAAGCUUCAACUUUGGAAAUACUGAGAAUAUGAACUCAUUUACGAACCAUUGGUUAGAGUGUGAUAAUCUGUGAAAAGACAUCUUUGAGUCUUUGUUCUUCUAUAUAAACGAUCAAAACUACUCGCCCAAAUUACAAUUACUCAUCACUGAUUCAUACUUGCUGUAUAUCUUCAGUGCAGAAGAUGUUAUGGUGAGAGGGAGGGGAUUAAAGACUGACUGCCCAUAGCUAUUUGGAGUCCAGGGUUUAAAUACUAAUUCAUAGAAAUUGACUUGUAACAUUUUCCACUUAAUACUCUGAAAAGUUUGGGAAUAUUUAGCAAGGUCUGGAGAAAUGUUUAGUUUUCGCUACUUGGGGUGGGUGGCAGAAGCUCCUUAUAUUGAGUGGGUAGAGGCCAGAGAUGCUGCUAAACAUCCUACCAUGCUCAGUACAGCCCACAAUGACAAAGAAUUAUCCAGCUCCGUAUGCCAGUAAUGCCAAUCUUAGGAAACUCUGCUAAGAGAGGAAGCUGGGAGAGUAGUAGAGAGAAUCUAAUGUAUCCUUCUGAGACAAGGAAAGCUGUCAGCUGUGGGAGGGAGAAUGAGAUCAAAGGACAUGUUGAGAUUCCUUUGACUUUAACUUUGGAAUUUCCAUCCUUAAUGACAAACCUCUGAAAACUUUUGGAAAACUGCCUUACAUUUGUAAAAUAUUUAACUGUCAAUCAGUUUGCUAUUAUUUCUUCAAAAGAAUGAAUACAUGUAUAUGUAUACUUUUGUGUACAUAUAAAUUUUUACAAUGUUUCUACUAAAACAGUCAUGUUAAUGGACUUAUAGACUUAAAUUUUAUCCACUGUUAAUCUAUUGUGAGGACAAUCUCAGAAAAAAAGGACUUUAGGAAUUCAUUCAUAAUCCCAAAUACUACAUCUAUAAAAUGAUAACUUCCUAAUUAGAUUUCUGUCAAUGCCUCCAACUUAGGGAAUUGGAGGAACAGGGGCCUUUGGCAUUUGUUCAUUUGGGCAGAACUCUACAACCUGGUACAUAGGAUAUGGUCAAAUGAGCAUCUGAUGAAUGAAUGAAUAAAUUAAUUCAGUGGAAAGUAAAGGCACACUGAGAAUGUCAUGAAAAAAGGAAUAGCAAUAAUAUUUAUCAAAAUACAGGGAUUCAGUAUAGUUACUCAUUUCUAAAAUGAACAUCUGUUUUCUUUUAUGCAUCUCUGAAAUCAGGAUGAAUGUUACACUCAAUGGUAUUUUCAACUGUCAUUGACCAGGCACCAGUCACAAUACACUUUUCAUGGUAUACUGUACUUGAACAUGAUAGCAGUUCUCUACUUUGAGUUCCUAUACAUUGUACAUAUUUUAAGGUUAAUUCUUGAAAUGCCUUCAUGAAACAGCAAAAAAAAAAAUUUUUAAAGAUUUUUUUUGAAAGACAGAGUUACAGAGAGAGGUAGAGACAGAGAGAAAGGUCUUCCAUCCACUGGUUCACUCCCCAAAUGGCCGCAAUGGCUAGAGCUGCGCUGAUCCGAAGCCAGGAGCCAGGAGCUUCUUCUGGGUCUGCCAUGUGGUUGCAGAGGCUCAAGGACUUGGGCCAUCUUCUACUGCUAUCCCAGUCCACAGCAGAGAGCUGGAUCAGAAGAAGAGCAGCCAGGACUAGAACCAGCACCCAUAUAGGAUGCCUGUGCUUCAGGCCAGGGCAUUAACUUGCUGUGCCACAGCACUGGCCCACAGCAAAAAAUUUUAAAGUGAUACGCAUCAAAGCCCUUAAUACUAAAUAUUGUAUUAUUGGGUUUAAAGUUAAUUUUAAGGGAACAAAUACUUGUUAUUGGCGAAAUACUUAUAAUCCAAUUUUCUUGAAAAGAAUAAAGUGCUUUAUAGUACCUGGAAAGGGAGAAACCUAUACGUAGAUAAGAAAAAUUCCAAGUGGGGCAGACAGUGUGGUACACUAGAGCUGCUGCUUGUGAGUCCCUCAUCCCUUUACAAAGUGCCUGGGAUAAAAUCUGUCUUCUGCUUCCAAUUUCCUUCUAUUGAGAACCCUGAGAGGCAGCAGAUGAUGUCACAAACACUUGGAUUCUUGCCACCCACAACGGAAACCUAGAUAGAGUUCCUGGCUCCAGGCUUUGCCUGGCUCAGCCAUGGCUAUUAAGGGUAUUUGCACAGUGAACCAAAAGGUGGAAGAUCUCUCUUUCUAUGUCUCUUUCUGUUAUUCUGUUUUUCAAAUAAACUGAAUAAAUAAACUUCAGAAAAAGAUAUUUCAAAGCAAUGAAUAUAGUAUGACCAAUUUAUGUAUCUCAAAUGGCUAACUUUAAGAUUUUGGAAUGAUGUUAUCAGUUGUACUUUUAUUUUUUCCAUGGUUUAAAAAUAAUAGUGUCUCUUACAGUCAAUAAUGUCUUAAAUUUUCAGUUGUCCUUUUUUAAAAAAGGAUUUAUUUAUAAGUGAGAAUUACACAAAAGAGGAGAGGCAGAGAGAGAGAGAGAGAGAGAGGUCUUCCAUCUGUUGGUUCACUCCCCAGUUGGCUGCAACGGCUGGAGCUGAGCUGAUCCGAAACCAGGAGCCAGGAGCUUUUUCCAGGUCUCCAACAUGGGUGCAAAGGCCCAAGGACUUGAGCCAUCUUCUACUGUUUUCCCAGGCCAUAGCAGAGAGCUGGAUAAGAAGUGGAACAGCUAGGUCUCGAACCAUAUCCUGUAUUGGAUGCUGGCACUUCAGGCCAGGGCAUUAACCCGCUGCGCCACAGCGCUGGCCCCCAGUUGUCAUUUUUGAUGUUAGAGACAGUCAAAGCCAACAAGAAUACUGAGGACUGAUGAAAUUUUUCCUGGAUCUUGAAAAAUAGGUUAGUGAUGAGGUAUUGUAGGAAGCCAAAUCAAGGCUGAAUGAAAUCCUGAUCAGGAGACAAGUAACAGAAUAAUCUGGUUGAAAUGCAUAUGUAUAUAAGAUAGAAAUGAAACAGGAGAUGAGAAACGUAGAUUUGUCUUCAGUUCUGAGGAAGCUGAAUUUCAGACUGAAGAACGUGCAUGUUAUCAUAAUGUGUGCUCCCAAAACCAAUUUUUAAUUUUUUUUAAGAUUUAUUUAUUUAUUGAAAGGCAGAGUUACAUGGUGGGUGGAGGGAAUGAGAGAGAGAAUCUUCUAUUUGUUCAUUCUCCAAAUGACCACAAUGGGCAGGAGCCAGGAAUUCCGUCCAGGACUCCCACAUGGGUGGCAGCCACACAAGGACUUGAGCCAUCUUCUGAUGCUUUCCCAGGUGCAUUAGCAGGGAGCUGGAUCAGAAGCAGACCAGCCAGGAUUUGAACAUGUUCCCAUACAGGAUGCUAGCACUGCAGACAGUAGCUUAACCUCAGCAUCUUGAAAGAACAGAAAUUUUGUUCAAGAAACAAAAAAACUCAUCAAAUAUGUUUUUGAAAGGAUCAAGGUGGUUACGGUACACUUUCAUUUUUUAGGAAGGUUUAUUUAUUUGAGAGGCCCUUCCCUAAUCCUUUACAGAGACUAUUAUCUUAACAUGAAAUUUCCUUGUCCUUGACCAUAAUCUCAUGUCCAUUCUGCUGAAAACUUUGUACUCAUUCUUAAAGCCAAGAGAAAAAUGUCACCUCCCCAAAGGUGCUGUUUCACACCUGUAGUCCAGUGGAACUGGACUUCAUUGCAAGCUUUAUAAAGACAGAGAUGAGUACUUCUUGAUGUCUCCAGAGCUUUCUACAAUGCCCCAUACAAGAUUGAUGCUCCCUACAUGUCACAUUUGAAUGAAUGGGAUACUAUGAACCAUAAUCUAACUGUUACACAGAGAUUGGUCUACCGCCAUUUUAUGUAUAAAAUAGAAAUAAAAUAUAUUUAUAAAAUAUA